UGGGGAAUCUUGCGCAAUGGGCGAAAGCCUGACGCAGCAAUUCCGCGUGGGGGACGAAGGCCCUCGGGUCGUAAACCCCUUUUGCGAGGGAAGAAGUUCUGACGGUACCUCGCGAAUAAGACACGGCUAACUACGUGCCAGCAGCCGCGGUAAUACGUAGGUGUCGAGCGUUGUCCGGAUUUAUUGGGCGUAAAGAGCCCGCAGGCGGCUUGCCAAGUUCGAGGUGAAAUCUCCCGGCUCAACCGGGAGGGUGCCUCGAAAACUGGCAGGCUUGAGGCAGGGAGAGGGAUGUGGAAUUCCCGGUGUAGUGGUGAAAUGCGUAGAUAUCGGGAGGAACACCAGUGGCGAAGGCGGCAUCCUGGCCCUGUCCUGACGCUCAGGGGCGAAAGCGUGGGGAGCAAACC
rnacentral:rRNA from 1 species